rnacentral:rRNA from 1 species
AUUGAACGCUGGCGGCAGGCUUAACACAUGCAAGUCGAGCGGAGAUGAGGUGCUUGCACCUUAUCUUAGCGGCGGACGGGUGAGUAAUGCUUAGGAAUCUGCCUAUUAGUGGGGGACAACAUUCCGAAAGGGAUGCUAAUACCGCAUACGUCCUACGGGAGAAAGCAGGGGAUCUUCGGACCUUGCGCUAAUAGAUGAGCCUAAGUCGGAUUAGCUAGUUGGUGGGGUAAAGGCCUACCAAGGCGACGAUCUGUAGCGGGUCUGAGAGGAUGAUCCGCCACACUGGGACUGAGACACGGCCCAGACUCCUACGGGAGGCAGCAGUGGGGAAUAUUGGACAAUGGGGGGAACCCUGAUCCAGCCAUGCCGCGUGUGUGAAGAAGGCCUUAUGGUUGUAAAGCACUUUAAGCGAGGAGGAGGCUACUGAGACUAAUACUCUUGGAUAGUGGACGUUACUCGCAGAAUAAGCACCGGCUAACUCUGUGCCAGCCGCCGCGGUAA